UACGUAGGGUCCGAGCGUUGUCCGGAAUUACUGGGCGUAAAGAGCUCGUAGGUGGUUUGUCGCGUUGUUCGUGAAAACUCACAGCUUAACUGUGGGCGUGCGGGCGAUACGGGCAGACUGGAGUACUGCAGGGGAGACUGGAAUUCCUGGUGUAGCGGUGAAGUGCGCAGAUAUCAGGAGGAACACCGGUGGCGAAGGCGGGUCUCUGGGCCGAAAUGACGCUGAGGAGCGAAAGCGUGGGGAGCAAACAGG
rnacentral:rRNA from 1 species